AGAGUGAACGCUGGCGGCAGGCCUAAUACAUGCAAGUCGAACGGCAGCACAGCAGAGCUUGCUCUGUGGGUGGCGAGUGGCGGACGGGUGAGGAAUACAUGGGAAUCUGCCCAGUCGUGGGGGAUAACGUAGGGAAACUUACGCUAAUACCGCAUGCGCCCUUCGGGGGAAAGCCGGGGACCUUCGGGCCUGGCGCGAUUGGAUGAGCCCAUGUCGGAUUAGCUAGUUGGCGGGGUAACGGCCCACCAAGGCGACGAUCCGUAGCCUGGUCUGAGAGGAUGAUCAGCCACACUGGAACUGAGACACGGUCCAGACUCCUA
rnacentral:rRNA from 1 species